GACGAACGCUGGCGGCGUGCCUAAUACAUGCAAGUCGAACGCAGUGGGGACGGGUGAGUAACACGUGGGUAACCUCCCAUCAGAGGGGAUAACACUUGGAAACAGGUGCUAAACCGAUACUGAUGGAUGGUCCCGCGGUGCAUUAGCUAGUUGGUGAGGUAACGGCUCACCAAGGCCACGAUGCAUAGCCGACCUGAGAGGGGGAUCGGCCACAUGGGGACUGGGACACGGCACAGAAUCCUACGGGAGGGAGCAGUAGGGAAUCUUCGGCAAUGAACGAAAGUCUGACCGAGCAACGCCGCGGGAGUGAAGAAGGUUUUCGGAUCGUAAAGCUCUGUUGUUAGAGAAGCGGUAUCUAACCAGAAAGCAACGGCUAACUACGUGCCAGCAGCCGCGGUAAUAC
rnacentral:rRNA from 1 species